rnacentral:rRNA from 1 species
AACGAACGCUGGCGGCGUGCCUAACACAUGCAAGUCGUGCGAGAAAGUUCCUUCGGGAGCGAGUAAAGCGGCGCACGGGUGAGUAACACGUAGGUAACCUGCCCCCCAGUCUGGAACAACUAGAGGAAACUCUAGCUAAUGCCGGAUGAGACCACGAUCCCUUCGGGGGUUGCGGCCAAAGAUGGCCUCUACUUGUAAGCUAUCGCUGAGGGAUGGGCCUGCGGGCCAUUAGCUUGUUGGUGAGGUAACGGCUCACCAAGGCUGUGAUGGCUAGCUGGUCUGAGAGGAUGACCAGCCACACUGGGACUGAGACACGGCCCAGACUCCUACGGGAGGCAGCAGUGGGGAAUAUUGCGCAAUGGGCGAAAGCCUGAUCCAGCAAUGCCGCGUGAGUGAUGAAGGCCUUAGGGUUGUAAAGCUCUUUUACCCGGGAUGAUAAUGACAGUACCGGGAGAAUAAGCCCCGGCUAACUCCGUGCCAGCAGCCGCGGUAAU